rnacentral:rRNA from 1 species
AUGCUUCUGCGAUGUUCUGCUGGUGUCUUUUGCCUUGGAGGUGCGCAUCGAAUGUCGAUUUGGAUGUACCGUGGGCCUGGCAGGUACUGCAACUCCAGUUUAUCGAGGAUGUUUUCCUCUGCUCUGUGCCAAGAGAAGGUUGUGCCGCCGCUGCUGUUGCUGCUGCUUUCGCCUUCUGAUCACUUGGCUUGGUUCCUGGGCCCAGUGUUGCUACAUUUGCCAAGUGCUUCUGCUCAGCAUAAUGCAUCUGUAAGUUCUUCUCACAGGUCGCUUGCACCUGGCAGACGGUGCAGUUCCAUUUCUUGGGUGGUUUGA